GAUGAACGCUGGCGGCGUGCCUAAUACAUGCAAGUCGAGCGAAUGGAUUAAGAGCUCGCUCUUAUGAAGUUAGCGGCGGACGGGUGAGUAACACGUGGGUAACCUGCCCAUAAGACUGGGAUAACUCCGGGAAACCGGGGCUAAUACCGGAUAACAUUUUGAACCGCAUGGUUCGAAAUUGAAAGGCGGCUUCGGCUGUCACUUAUGGAUGGACCCGCGUCGCAUUAGCUAGUUGGUGAGGUAACGGCUCACCAAGGCAACGAUGCGUAGCCGACCUGAGAGGGUGAUCGGCCACACUGGGACUGAGACACGGCCCAGACUCCUACGGGAGGCAGCAGUAGGGAAUCUUCUGCAAUGGACGAAAGUCUGACGGAGCAACGCCGCGUGAGUGAUGAAGGCUUUCGGGUCGUAAAACUCUGUUGUUAGGGAAGAACAAGUGCUAGUUGAAUAAGCUGGCACCUUGACGGUACCUAACCAGAAGGCUACGGCUAACUACGUGCCAGCCGCCGCAGUAA
rnacentral:rRNA from 1 species